AACGAACGCUGGCGGCAGGCUUAACACAUGCAAGUCGAGCGCAUCCUUCGGGGUGAGCGGCGGACGGGUGAGUAACGCGUGGGAACGUGCCCUCUUCUACGGAAUAGCCUCGGGAAACUGAGAGUAAUGCCGUAUACGCCCGCAAGGGGAAAGAUUUAUCGGAGGAGGAUCGGCCCGCGUUGGAUUAGGUAGAUGGUGGGGUAACGGCCUACCAAGCCGACGAUCCAUAGCUGGUUUGAGAGGAUGAUCAGCCACACUGGGACUGAGACACGGCCCAGACUCCUACGGGAGGCAGCAGUGGGGAAUCUUGGACAAUGGGGGCAACCCUGAUCCAGCCAUGCCGCGUGAUCGAUGAAGGCCUUAGGGUUGUAAAGAUCUUUCAGCUGGGAAGAUAAUGACGGUACCAGCAGAAGAAGCCCCGGCUAACUCCGUG
rnacentral:rRNA from 1 species